CAGAUACUACUGGUAACAUGGUAGUAAGGCCACGGGAAGUCUGAAGGAGAAAAGAAAUUCAUCUUUAUGGCAUCUAAGUGCAAGAAGAGCAUCUAUAAACCUGCUUUUUAAUUAGGAUCAACACAGAACUUCAUCAUGCUGACAUUUGCUCACAGUCUGCUGAUAGCCCUGAUCCUCAGAGGCCUGGAGAAAAAGGCAAGCAACCCAGAGAACUCAGAAUGGAAAUCCAGUCAGCCCAGCUGUGCAAGCCCUGAGAUCCUGCAAUGCAAAUGCAACUGUUGGGUUCAAAAGUCCCUGGAUGGAAGUGUUACUGCUGGUAGCUUUGCUCCAUUGAAAUGGAGCUCAGAUGGGUCAGCAAGUAUAGGGCUGCAAAACUUGUUUCUUCACAUGGCUGUCCUGCCAGCCUCAAAUGAAGAGAAGAUUACAGCCUGGGAGUAACACAAG
rnacentral:lncRNA from 1 species